CACCCUGUUAGCUGGGGCUGGGUUUGUAAGAAAAGGUUCCUGACUAGCUGUGCAUACGAGGGAGACAAGGUCCCCGUUUUCAGGGGCUGCUCAUUUUUCCAUCCGCAAGCAGUGUGUCCUCCGCAAGAGAAGGUUGGAUCUAGGGGGAUGCCUCGAGCUGGCGAGUUCCUUCCCCUCCUCCUGCGUUUCUCUCUCUCCCUCCCUCCCUUUCUCUCUCUCUCUCUCUUCUGUACUGUGUUGGCCAACACACACACACUCUCUUUCUCUCUGUCUGUGUCCUUGCCUAUCCCUGUGCUUUCUCCCUUUAUAGAACACGGGUAGGUGUGGAUCCCCACAGGCUAGGUCUCGGGAGCCAGGAAAAAGUAGGAGGGGAUGAAAAUCAUGUGGGGUAGUGGGUGCGAGAGUGGAGGCAGGUAUUGUAAAAUAUUAGCACGGUAGCAUGUUGGACAGUGAUGGCUCUUCCAUAGGUGGUUUGCUGUUCUUGCAGAGGCCCGCUCAAGGCCAAUGGAGCCGCCCCAGACAGAGGAGAAGCAUCUGGAGGAACGAGACUUGCACAAUCUAGAUGUUUCACUUGGCAGUGGAGCUAAGGAGUGCUCUCGUGAUAUUCGAGGAGCAGUACCAAGGGAAAAGAAGUGGAGGGUCAGAGUCUGCUCCCCUCAUGCAAUGGAAAGCAAGUAAGAGCAGAGAGACAGCGAACGUUACUGAUGCCAGGCAAGAGCCGUCCAGCUUGGAGCCGAGGAGCCGUCACCGUCAGUGAGAGAAGUGUCUUGUUAGCUGCGCUGGUACAGGAAUUGUCCAGGAACCCUACCCGGAGGAGAGACUCUCAGAAGUGAACCUGAUCAGCCUGAACAUCCUUCUAAGCAGACAUGAACAGUCCUCAGCUUUCUGCCUCCUGCAUAAAUGGCUGUGAGUAAGCGGAAAAGAAGUCAUGUGCCAGUCUACUACCCUUAUGUGAUGGAAAGCGAGCGAGAGCGAUGAGACCAUGAGCAUGGUUGAUGCCACGCAAAAGCCGUCCAUCUGGCAGCAGAAGAGCCAUCACUGUCAGUGAGAUAAGUAUUUGUUUUGGUGAGGGCUCUGCUUAUGGCCCACGUUGAUGCUGGUAGGGAUGCCCCGUUAGCUAGGGCUGGGUUUGUAAGAAAAGGUUCCUGACUAGCUGUGGUUGUAAGAGAGACAAGGUUCCCAAUUUCAGGGGCUGAUGAUUCCUCUGGUCAGGAGCAGUGUGUCCUACGCAGCAGAAGGUAGCAUCUAGAGGAUGACUCCAGGUGUCGAGUUAUUUGCCUUCCUCCCGUGUUUCUCUGUCUUCUCUAUUGUGUUGGCCAACACUCUUGCUCUUUCAUUCUCCCUUCCUUGCCUUUCCUGGUGCCGUCUCCCUAUGUAGGACGCGGGAAAAGGGUGCUAGGUGUGCAUCCACACAGUCUGUCUUUGGGACCCACGAAGACUUAGGAGGGUAUGAAAAUCAUGCAUAUUAGUGGGUGCCACAGUGGAGCAAUGUCUGUCAGUGUUGACUUGGUCUUUAAUCAUCGCCUGGGGCUGAUGUAGACCAAAUGAGAGAGGGAGGCAGAGAUUAGGGCAAGAUUUCACAUACCUUCAGAGCUUUGUGUAAUGCUGACUCACCCUUGGCUUUUGCAACUGCACUGCAGAGGAAUUGUCCAGGAGCGCUGUCUGGAGGAGAGACUCUCAAAAGCGGACCUGAACAUCCUUCUAAGCAGACGUGAACAGUCCUCAGCUUUCUGCCUCCUGCAUAACUGGCUUACCAAGGGAAAAGAAGUCACAUAUCAGUCUACUGUCAUCAUGCGAAGGAAAGCGAGACCGACGAGACCGCGAUCAUUGUUGAAAUCAGGCAUUAGCUGAACAUCUGGGAGCGGAGCAGUCACCGCUGUCAGUGAGAUAAAUGUCUGGUUUGGUGAGGGAUCUGCUCAUGACCCACCUGGCUCCAGUUUGCAGAGGAAUCAUCCAGGAGCCCUUGCCGACCAGAAUAUGCAGAAGUGGAUGUGAGCAGCCUGGAAAUCCUUCUAAGGAGACCUCAACAGUCCUCAGGUUUUUGCCUUCUGCCUAACUGGCUCUGAGUAAGCGUAGCAAGAGAAAAGAAGUCACAGGCCAGAGUCUACUGCCCUCGUGCAAUGGAAAGAGAGCAAGAGCGAUGAGUCUGCAAGCGUUGUUGAUGCGACGCAGAAGGCGUCCAUCUGGGAGCGGGACCGCCACCACUCUCAAUGAGAUAAGUGUCUUCUUUGGUGAUUGCUCUGCUCAAAGCCCAUCUUGCUCCCGGUAGGGACGCCCCGUUAGCUGGGGCUGGGUUUGUAAGAAAAGGUUCCUGACUAGUUGUGGUUACAAGGGAGACGAUGUCCCCAUUUUCAGGGGCUGCUCAUGUCUCUGGCCAGGACCAGUGUGUCCUCCGCAGCAUAUUAGAUCCAGGGGGAUGACUCCAGCUGGUGAGUUUCUUGACUCCCUCCCAUGUUUUUCUCUCUCUCUCUCUCCUCUAAUGUGUUGGCCAACACACACUCUGUCUCUGUCUCUCACUCUCUCUCUGUCCUUGCCUCCUCUUGUGCUGUCUUCCGUCGUAGGACACGGGCAGGUGUGUUAGUUGUGCAUCCCCACAGGCUAGGUCUUGUAAGCUAUGUAGGGGACCGAAAUGAUGCAGGGCAGUGGGCGCUAGAGUGAAGCGGUGACUGUGGGUGUUGACUGAGUCUCUGCUCUAGUGGGGCUGAUGUGGGAGGCAGGGAUGAGGGCAAGAUUUCACGCACCAAUUGAAUUUUUUGUAGUGAGGGCUCUUGGUUGGCUUAUUUGCUGCACUUGUAGAGGAAUUAUCCAGGAGCAGCAGCCGGAGGAGAAAUUGGCCGACGUGGGCCUGAGGAGCCUGGACAUUCUUCUAAGGAGACAUGAACAGUCCUCAGCUUUCUGCCUCGUGCAUAGCUGGCUGUGGUUAAGUGGUUCAGUGUGUCUGACCAGAGUCAUCUGUGCAGAGUGACUAUUUCAGGUGUCGUCGCAAGGGGUGCUUUCUACUUGUAGUCAGAAAGGCGUGAUGGGAGGAGGGUUCAGGGCAGAGCCCCACCAUGUGGGAGAGGCAAAAAGAAGCGGCUACCCAACAUUGCCAAUUGAGAUGGUGACUGACUUGUUUUCCCGCUGGAUUUAGUACCAAGGGAAAAGAAGUGACAAGUCAGAAUCUACUGCCCUCAUGCGAUGGAAAGCGAGCGAGAGUGAUGGGACUGCGAGAAUUAUUGAUGCCUUGAAAAAGCCGUCCAACUGGGAAUGGAACAGUCAUCACUGUCAAUGAGAUAAGUGUCUGUUUUGGUGAUUGCUCUGCUCACGGCCCACCUUGGUCCUGAAAGGGAUGCCCCGUUUGCUGAGGCUGUUUGUAAGAAAAGGUUCCUGACUAGCUGUGGUUUUGAGAGAGAGAAGAUCCCCAUUUUUAGGGGCUGCUCAGUUUUCUGGCCAGGAGCAGUGUGUCCUACGCAGCAGAAGGUUGCAUCUAGGAGA